rnacentral:rRNA from 1 species
GACGAACGCUGGCGGCGUGCUUAACACAUGCAAGUCGAACGGAAAGGCCCUGCUUUUGUGGGGUGCUCGAGUGGCGAACGGGUGAGUAACACGUGAGUAACCUGCCCUUGACUUUGGGAUAACUUCAGGAAACUGGGGCUAAUACCGGAUAGGAGCUCCUGCUGCAUGGUGGGGGUUGGAAAGUUUCGGCGGUUGGGGAUGGACUCGCGGCUUAUCAGCUAGUUGGUGGGGUAGUGGCUUACCAAGGCUUUGACGGGUAGCCGGCCUGGGAGGGUGACCGGCCACAUUGGGACUGAGAUACGGCCCAGACUCCUACGGGAGGCAGCAGUGGGGAAUAUUGCACAAUGGGCGGAAGCCUGAUGCAGCAACGCCGCGUGCGGGAUGCCGGCCUUCGGGUUGUAAACCGCUUUCGCCUGUGACGAAGCGUGAGUGACGGUAAUGGGUAAAGAAGCACCGGCUAACUACGUG